GGCGAGAUGGCCGAGCGGUCUAUGGCGCCACGUUAAGGAAUCAUCCCUUAAUCCCCCUCUGAAUACUCAGAUCCGUGGUCCGAAAGGGCGUGGGUUCGAAUCCCACUCUCGUCA